UAAGCGUACACGGUGGAUGCCCUGGCAGUCAGAGGCGAUGAAGGACGUGCUAAUCUGCGAUAAGCGUCGGUAAGGUGAUAUGAACCGUUAUAACCGGCGAUUUCCGAAUGGGGAAACCCAGUGUGUUUCGACACACUAUCAUUAACUGAAUCCAUAGGUUAAUGAGGCGAACCGGGGGAACUGAAACAUCUAAGUACCCCGAGGAAAAGAAAUCAACCGAGAUUCCCCCAGUAGCGGCGAGCGAACGGGGAGCAGCCCAGAGCCUGAAUCAGUAUGUGUGUUAGUGGAAGCGUCUGGAAAGGCGCGCGAUACAGGGUGACAGCCCCGUACACAAAAAUGCACAUAUUGUGAGCUCGAUGAGUAGGGCGGGACACGUGGUAUCCUGUCUGAAUAUGGGGGGACCAUCCUCCAAGGCUAAAUACUCCUGACUGACCGAUAGUGAACCAGUACCGUGAGGGAAAGGCGAAAAGAACCCCGGCGAGGGGAGUGAAAAAGAACCUGAAACCGUGUACGUACAAGCAGUGGGAGCACGCUUAGGCGUGUGACUGCGUACCUUUUGUAUAAUGGGUCAGCGACUUAUAUUCUGUAGCAAGGUUAACCGAAUAGGGGAGCCGAAGGGAAACCGAGUCUUAACUGGGCGUUAAGUUGCAGGGUAUAGACCCGAAACCCGGUGAUCUAGCCAUGGGCAGGUUGAAGGUUGGGUAACACUAACUGGAGGACCGAACCGACUAAUGUUGAAAAAUUAGCGGAUGACUUGUGGCUGGGGGUGAAAGGCCAAUCAAACCGGGAGAUAGCUGGUUCUCCCCGAAAGCUAUUUAGGUAGCGCCUCGUGAAUUCAUCUCCGGGGGUAGAGCACUGUUUCGGCAAGGGGGUCAUCCCGACUUACCAACCCGAUGCAAACUGCGAAUACCGGAGAAUGUUAUCACGGGAGACACACGGCGGGUGCUAACGUCCGUCGUGAAGAGGGAAACAACCCAGACCGCCAGCUAAGGUCCCAAAGUCAUGGUUAAGUGGGAAACGAUGUGGGAAGGCCCAGACAGCCAGGAUGUUGGCUUAGAAGCAGCCAUCAUUUAAAGAAAGCGUAAUAGCUCACUGGUCGAGUCGGCCUGCGCGGAAGAUGUAACGGGGCUAAACCAUGCACCGAAGCUGCGGCAGCGACACUAUGUGUUGUUGGGUAGGGGAGCGUUCUGUAAGCCUGUGAAGGUGUGCUGUGAGGCAUGCUGGAGGUAUCAGAAGUGCGAAUGCUGACAUAAGUAACGAUAAAGCGGGUGAAAAGCCCGCUCGCCGGAAGACCAAGGGUUCCUGUCCAACGUUAAUCGGGGCAGGGUGAGUCGACCCCUAAGGCGAGGCCGAAAGGCGUAGUCGAUGGGAAACAGGUUAAUAUUCCUGUACUUGGUGUUACUGCGAAGGGGGGACGGAGAAGGCUAUGUUGGCCGGGCGACGGUUGUCCCGGUUUAAGCGUGUAGGCUGGUUUUCCAGGCAAAUCCGGAAAAUCAAGGCUGAGGCGUGAUGACGAGGCACUACGGUGCUGAAGCAACAAAUGCCCUGCUUCCAGGAAAAGCCUCUAAGCAUCAGGUAACAUCAAAUCGUACCCCAAACCGACACAGGUGGUCAGGUAGAGAAUACCAAGGCGCUUGAGAGAACUCGGGUGAAGGAACUAGGCAAAAUGGUGCCGUAACUUCGGGAGAAGGCACGCUGAUAUGUAGGUGAAGUCCCUCGCGGAUGGAGCUGAAAUCAGUCGAAGAUACCAGCUGGCUGCAACUGUUUAUUAAAAACACAGCACUGUGCAAACACGAAAGUGGACGUAUACGGUGUGACGCCUGCCCGGUGCCGGAAGGUUAAUUGAUGGGGUUAGCCGCAAGGCGAAGCUCUUGAUCGAAGCCCCGGUAAACGGCGGCCGUAACUAUAACGGUCCUAAGGUAGCGAAAUUCCUUGUCGGGUAAGUUCCGACCUGCACGAAUGGCGUAAUGAUGGCCAGGCUGUCUCCACCCGAGACUCAGUGAAAUUGAACUCGCUGUGAAGAUGCAGUGUACCCGCGGCAAGACGGAAAGACCCCGUGAACCUUUACUAUAGCUUGACACUGAACAUUGAGCCUUGAUGUGUAGGAUAGGUGGGAGGCUUUGAAGUGUGGACGCCAGUCUGCAUGGAGCCGACCUUGAAAUACCACCCUUUAAUGUUUGAUGUUCUAACGUUGACCCGUAAUCCGGGUUGCGGACAGUGUCUGGUGGGUAGUUUGACUGGGGCGGUCUCCUCCUAAAGAGUAACGGAGGAGCACGAAGGUUGGCUAAUCCUGGUCGGACAUCAGGAGGUUAGUGCAAUGGCAUAAGCCAGCUUGACUGCGAGCGUGACGGCGCGAGCAGGUGCGAAAGCAGGUCAUAGUGAUCCGGUGGUUCUGAAUGGAAGGGCCAUCGCUCAACGGAUAAAAGGUACUCCGGGGAUAACAGGCUGAUACCGCCCAAGAGUUCAUAUCGACGGCGGUGUUUGGCACCUCGAUGUCGGCUCAUCACAUCCUGGGGCUGAAGUAGGUCCCAAGGGUAUGGCUGUUCGCCAUUUAAAGUGGUACGCGAGCUGGGUUUAGAACGUCGUGAGACAGUUCGGUCCCUAUCUGCCGUGGGCGCUGGAGAACUGAGGGGGGCUGCUCCUAGUACGAGAGGACCGGAGUGGACGCAUCACUGGUGUUCGGGUUGUCAUGCCAAUGGCACUGCCCGGUAGCUAAAUGCGGAAGAGAUAAGUGCUGAAAGCAUCUAAGCACGAAACUUGCCCCGAGAUGAGUUCUCCCUGACUCCUUGAGAGUCCUGAAGGAACGUUGAAGACGACGACGUUGAUAGGCCGGGUGUGUAAGCGCAGCGAUGCGUUGAGCUAACCGGUACUAAUGAACCGUGAGGCUUAACC
rnacentral:rRNA from 1 species